rnacentral:lncRNA from 1 species
CAUUGGGCGCGCCGCAAAGCGCUGGACAAGGCAAACGAGUCUACGCGCUGCAUCGCGUAGCGCGCGCAAGUCGUCGACCGCAAGGGCCGAUCCUGCCUGCGUGACCAGCGGCGUGCGCGUGUCGGCCGCGCGGCCGUGCAGAUAGCAGGCAAUGGCCGGCGGGAGGUCAUGGUGGGUGGCCAACUCGACAACGCCCGCCAAAGCGGGUCUGCCGAUGGCGACCACGGCCCCCGCCCACCGUCCAUAGGCACCGACGUCGAUCAUGGAGAUGCGAUAAUUUGCCGCGAUGGAAUGCCACAGUGAGACAUGUCGUGAGCCGUCGGCGUACAUACCGACAGCAACGUAGGCCAGUUGCACCCGUUCCUCACGUACUGCUUGCUGACGCGACGCGGCGCACAAGACAUUUCGACUGAACCAAGAGCGGUGCCGGGCAAACUGACACUCGAAUUCGGCCAAGACCGCAAUCGCCCAUUGGGCCGGCGGCAGGUGGCUUCGGUGCGGACCGAAAAAGGUUGCGGCAAUGGAUCGCGGCGUCGGCGGCCACGGCGAAACAGGCACAUACCCACGUCCGAUAUCGUGUGUGGCAAUGCCAUAGAGCCCCUCCCAGAACCGCGCAUAGAUGUGGAGAACCGCCGCGGCCGUCUCGACGUCCAUGCCAUCGUCCCUGCCGAGCAGACGCGCGCUCUCGGCCAGGACGCCCAGCAUGACGGCGUCGUCGGGGACCAUGUCGUCCUUGUCUCGGUGCGACCAUUCUUGCGCCCAUGCGCACACGCCGGCGAGUCGCUCGGCCACCUGUGAGGCAUCGGACGGUGCGCGCCAUACCUUGGGCGCGGUUGCGCGGUCCUCGCCCGCCAUGGCCAUGCCGUCGUCUGCCGGUGGCGCGCGCAUUCCCGUCGACCGCUUUCUUCUUCUUUUUCUUCUGGGGCCUGCUGUCGGAUUUGGCAGGCGUCAGAGAAGAAAAAGAAACAAAAGAGAGACCAACAAGAAAAACAAAAGGAG